AAAAAAAAAAAAAAAAUGGAUGGAAGACGGGUUAUCUUGCUUUGUUGAUGAAGUUCAACCAGACUUUAGAACCAAGCAUCUCUUAAAAUUAAAUUGUGUCAGCAAAAAGUUGAUGAGGGCGUUGGUCUGAGAGUCGGUGAACAUGUUGAACCGGUCCUCGAGACCGUCUACAGUCUCUCAAUGAUGAUGGCGCGUAGCCAAAACGUGUCUGAGCAACAACAGGUAGACCGGCGAGUGUAGACUGACCCAUUGUUUUGCCUGAUCUGCCAAUGGGUGGAAUUCUGUCUUAAAAUAUAUAAAAACGAGAGUACAAAACAUGGAGAAAUAAAGAGAGAGUGAGGUGAAAGGACAAGAAGCAAAAAAUGAGAUGGACAGAGAGAAGAUAAUGACAACUUUAUUUCAUAUGUAUUUACAUUAAAUUGCCUAUUGAAAUUUCUACCAUACAGAAUAAUUGAGCAA